rnacentral:rRNA from 1 species
GUUUAAGAGGGCGUGAAACCGCUUAGAAGGAAACGGACGGAGCUGAAAAGUCUACUGCCGGAUUCAGUUUUUCAAUUGACUUGUCAAUAGAAGAAUGCACUUCUGGCAGUUGAGCGCUACGACCAAUGCUCUCACUGACAAAGGGCAAAGCAGAGCCGGCUAGGUUCGUCCUAGUGUCCGCUGCAUCGUUCCUGUUCGGGUUGAGUGCAUUGGAGACUUGCCGUACCCGCUUGUCUUACCUUGUUGCAAAUGCUUGUCGGCGCUUUGAAUGCUGAGUUCUAAUUGCAGAGCUUAGCGACUACCGUUCAAGUAAUUUGUAGUAACGGUAAGUGGUGCGCAAAUGUCUGUAGCGUCCGAGUCAGUCACCCGUCCGACCCGUCUUGAAACACGGACCAAGGAGUCUAACAUGUGCGCAAGUCAUUGAGUGGCAAACUCAAAGGCGUAAUGAAAGUGGAAGCUGGUUCCGCCAGCUAAGGUGAGAUCCUGCUUAUUGCAGGCGCAUCACCGUCCCGUCCUAUGGGUACCGUCCCUUGGGUGGAGAAAGAGCGUACAUGCUGGGACCCGAAAGAUGGUGAACUAUGCUUGAGCAGGAUGAAGCCAGAGGAAACUCUGGUGGAGGUCCGCAGCGGUUCUGACGUGCAAAUCG